UAUCCGUUGGUGAACCAGCGGAGGGAUCAUUACCGAGUUUACAACUCCCAAACCCAAUGUGAACCAUACCAAACUGUUGCCUCGGCGGGGUCACGCCCCGGGUGCGUCGCAGCCCCGGAACCAGGCGCCCGCCGGAGGGACCAACCAAACUCUUUCUGUAGUCCCCUCGCGGACGUUAUUUUUACAGCUCUGAGCAAAAAUUCAAAAUGAAUCAAAACUUUCAACAACGGAUCUCUUGGUUCUG
rnacentral:misc_RNA from 1 species